CUGAUUCCUAGUUCAUUCUAUAAAACUCUGUUCAUAAGGCGUAUUGAAGGAAAUAACCAUUUUCUUCUUGUCUUAUUCAUUUUCUUCAUCACAUUCGUCUUCUUCCUAUAUUACCCUAAAAUCUAGCCCACAAAGAGGUGUUACUGAAAAAUGUGGAUUUUAAGGCCUUCAUAUUUUGGAUUUGUAUUUGUUGGAUGAAGAAAGAGAUGAUUUGUUUUGGUCUAUUUUAGGGUUUUGUAGGAAGAAAGAGCAUGUUUGUUCAAAUGUAGAAUUAUGUAUAACCCUACUCGUGCCAUCAUCCCACCUAAAUUAUCAACUGAACUCCUUGAUAACUUUUCCAUUAAAAACCAAAUAUGAGCAACAUGAACUUGACACCUAAAGAAACUAAAUCCGACUGGUAGUAUGAUUUUGAUUAACUUGGGUUGAGUUUAUGUGAAGUUACUUGACAACCGAAGGAGACUCCUACAUCGUAAG